UGGGGUGGACUUUGGUGACGCAAAUGACCUUACAUAGGAUGAACGAGCCUUGUGGUCAGUUGAAGGCAUAAAAAAAAAUCCAAAGUCUGACUUACCUUGAGCAAGAAAGAAUUCUGCUUCCCAACAGCUUUGGGUUCAUGUGCAAAGCUGGCUCUGCCAGGGUCUGUACCUACUGCUUCCCGUCAGGCGCUGGGCCCUCCAAACCCCAUAACCAAGGAAUCCAAUUCCUGAAAUCCACCUCCCUCUCCUUUUCCCCUCCCUUCCUCCUCCUGCUCUUCCUUCUACUGGUUCCACAGCCCUGCAGACUCUUGACCGAACUGACACAGUUGGGGAAACCGAGUCAUAAAAAAGGGUAGCUUUUCUGUCCUUUUACUCUGCCACGAAGAGUCGCUGAUCCUCCACUUCUGUCUGUCAUAGUAAACGGUGUCAAAAGUAACGCGAUCACAUGUACCACAGCAUGGAGCAUUCUCUCUUCUAAGAUCAUGCAUACCUGCCAUACCAGGGGGCAUCAGUCCGCGAGCAGCAAGUGGCCACAAACCUGGCAACUGGAAACUGGGUGCUUAUCGAAAUCUCUGCAUCUGUGGCUCAGAACCAAGUCCAGUUCAAGAUAUGAGCGCUCAGCCUCUUGCUUCUGCCACCAUUCCAGCCAGUCUUGCCCUUGCUUCCCGGCUGUAAGGCCAAAUAAACUCUUCUAUUAUACAACAACCAAAAUUAAAUGUAUCGAGGGCGAAUCCGUCCCUUUGACUGUUGGAACCACUAGGCUCACCUGUGCAACAACACAGCCUGUGCUGCUACUGCCUACCGGGGACUGCGCCUGUGUGCAAAACAAAAGAGAGGAGCAGUGGAGCGGAGAGCCGAGAGUUGUAGGAACUACCGUGUCUGUAUACAGUCAUCUUGGAAGCCUCGUGGAUGGGGAGGGGAAGAGUUGAGAAGAGGUGCCUGAUGGGACAACCGCUUUUACAAGCUCAUUCUGCGUAAGUGUUAGCUGAGGCAUGAGCCGAGGCAGAGUCAGGAGGUGCCGAGAGUCUGGAGAACAGAAUCAAUAGGAUGGUAUCUCUAAGAAGGAAAAGAAAUCCACCACUCGCCGCAAGUACCUAGGACAACAUCUAGGAAAAUAUCUAGGAACAGCUUGUCCCUGCCUGCAACCCAGGAGUUCUCCUUUGUGACCUGCAGGUGGAGCUGUCGGACUGUUAUCCUGGCCAGAACUGAGUACCGCGCUUCACCUUGGCGAUCACCAGUGGAGCUUCAGAGUGUGGGCAGGCUUCAGAGACAUCUGAGUUCAGAGCACAGAAAUGAGCACUCAAAGUGCCAGGAUCUGCAGGACGCGGCAAAUUACAAGGUGCAGGGUGCAGAACCUGAGAUAAACCUGCUGAUAAACCUGUGAACCUGGGAUUAUGGCAGCUACAGGUCUUUGCGGUGACGGUGACGACAGGGCUCUUUGUAGACAGAGGGACCGCUGCACGAAAGCUGGAGGAAUAGAUAGAGGUGCAGAAGCAGAUACUGUUAUGGAAAGUGGAGGUCGCCAAGGUGCAAGGGGUUGGGAGUAGUUCGGGCCGGUGGAGCUAGGAUGCCUGGCAAGGCUCAGAUUUGCCGGAUAAGAGUCAAGGUGCAAAGCCAUUUUAAGGGUACAGUUCAGUGGUGUUAACUGCACCCGAAAUACUGUGCAAUCAUCACUAUUGUUUAUAGAAUUCUUAACACCUCAGAGACCCCUUCCCCAUCAAGCAACUCCAGGUUCUUCCUACUUUCUGACACUUUGGAGGGUUUUUUGUUUGUUUGUUUUGCUUUGCUUUGCUUUGCUUUGUUGUUGCUGUGUUGUUUGUGGGUUUUAUUUUUGCAGGUUAGUUGUUUUGGUGUUUGUUUUCUUGAGACAAGGUAUUACUACGUACCCCAGGCUGACCUCAAAUGCACUAUUUAACCCAGCCUGGCCUCUAAAUCAAAUCAAUCCUCCUGCUUUAGCCUCUUCCUACUUUAUGUCUCUGACUUUGUCUGUUCUGUGAGCUUCACUUAUGCAGAUUAAUAGAUUCCUACAUUUGUUCCUUUGUGUUGGAUCGCCUAGCUCAAGGUUUGCCCACCUUCUGGCACCUGUCAGAAAUGUCUUUGUUUUUGUGGCUGAACAACAUCCCAUUGAAGGUCCUGACCACGUGCGAAAAUCUGUUCAUUUGUGAUAGACACUGGAUUCCAGUGAGUAGCGACGCCCUGGAGGGCCAGAUUACACAGGCCAUACUCCUACACGGUAUGGCAGUCAGAAUUCUGAGCGACCUGGCAAGGCACAAUCUGCACCUGCCACACAGAAAGUGGUCACCUAGCCUUUGAUAGUGAGACAACCUGAUGCCAUCCAAAUUGGCAAGUGGUCAGGAUAUGCUAAUGUCGUCCUGCUCCUUCUAUUGUAAUUUGUGUUUUUCAGUCUACAUGACAAAGCAGGCUUGGUUGUGGCCACGACCUAAGUCAUUCUCCCCAUCACCUAGGAAACAGAAUGCUAAUGAACUUCCCCCUCAGUUUGUGUUUUGAUAUAAAAGCUGUUUGGAUAAUAAACAUGGGUGAUCUUCAGGAUUUGAAUGAACCCUGAGACUCCCUCCUGAUA